GUAAUAGUUGGUGGAGGAUUUUUUGUAAGCAGAUCAAUCAAUAUAGCACAGAUAUUAAAGUGGAACCAGUAGGUUCACCACCCAAUUUCCUCCAGCCACUUUGGCCAUGUGUGUUUGUCCAGGCUCCCAUCUCUCAUCAAUUUCUGUGUUCAGUUUCUGUGUGAAUUUGCUUCUAAUAGAUUACACCAAUACACUGGAUUUGAAGACCCUUGACUAUUGAAAUCCACAAGGAUGAGAAUCCCCAGGAAAGUGUGGUUUCUCCCCUACACAGCCUCUAGCUCAUUUGACAGAAAGAGAAGGCUCAGCUCUUCUGUUUCCAGUGGGGGCAAGCCAAGGCUCAUUUGAGAGAAGUGGUGAAAAAUAAUAUUUUCACAGUCAGAUGAGCCUGUGUUGGAAAUAUGAUCACUGGUGGUGAGAUGUAGCCAGCAGUUGCACUGGAAGGUAAAGUCUAUUGACCAUUUACUGCCCUGCAGUUUUAUGGGAAGGUACAUCAGAAGAUGUGACUGGAAAACACAACAUUACUAAGGAAAGGACUCAAAACCUUGCAUAGAAGAACUCAGAGGAUCCUGGCUUUCUUCUUUCUCAACUACAUUGUAGCUAAAAAACACCCUGCACAACUGGAACAGCCAGCUAACCCUCCAGAGGGCUCUUUGGAUCAUGACAUCCAUCAUGUCUGUCUGUUGCCAUACUGCAAUGAAACAUGGAGCAUGCUAUUAUUCCCUUUUUACAGAGGGGGAGAUCAAGCCAUACUUGACUACAGAAUGUAGACUAGAUGUCCCCCAAAAGCCCCAUGUGGUCAUAGAUGGGACUUUUUGAAGGGGGCUGGAACUGGAGUCUGUAUGCUGGAAUCAAGGAUGUGAUGCUGGCAUCGAUUCAUGCUGCAAUGAUAGGAUUAAGGCUUCCUGCCCUGGUUGUGAAU
ensembl:lncRNA